rnacentral:rRNA from 1 species
GACGAACGCUGGCGGCGUGGACUAGGCAUGCAAGUCGAACGCGAAAGAGGGGGGAAACCCCUCGAGUAGAGUGGCGAACGGGUGAGUAACGCGUGAAGAACCUGCCUUCAACAGGGGGAUAACACUCCCAACGGGGUGCUAAUACCGCAUGAGACCACGGGUCUGCAUGGACCUGAGGUCAAAGGUGGCCUCUGCUUGCAAGCUACCGGUUGAAGAUGGCUUCGCGUCCCAUAGCUAGUUGGCGGUGUAACGGACCACCAAGGCGACGAUGGGUAGCUGGUCUGAGAGGAUGGUCAGCCACACUGGGACUGAGAUACGGCCCAGACUCCGUACGGGAGGCAGCAGUCGAGAGGCCUCGGCAAGU